rnacentral:lncRNA from 1 species
UUUUUUUUUACUUUGCAAAGAGAAUCAGGAGUAGAAUAAUGUACGCUCAUGUGCCUGGAUGCAACCAGAUUUAGCACAUGUUAUUUUUUUCAGGUAAGCAUGUCUUCCUUUCGCAAGUCAUCAUGGACACCACCUAAUUGCAAUAUCAGAAGGGAGCCAUAUCUCUCUCAGGUUGGCAUGUCCUUCUUUUCUUUGUUUAAAUCAUGAAGAGGUACCUUUUAAUUGGGAGUAACUCUGAACAGGUGGAGGCAGUCUACAUGGAAUACUCUAGCCAGAUAAUGCUACCAAGAAGAGGACCGUAGUGGGAGUAGAUUCUAAACUCUCGUUUUUUUUAACUUGUAGAAGUUAAAUUUGACCUUUGCAUGUUUGUGGA